GCCUAAGUCAGACACCAGGAGCUGCUCCAGAAAGCAAAAAUAUGCAAGCAUGCUGACCAUGACAAGGAUAGGUACGUCUUGCCAGACUCUGUAACGAGGCACUUCUCUCUGCUGUGUUACAGUUUGGGACCUUCUGGCAGCAGUUGGAGGAUUUUGAAUUUUCAAUAAUGUUACAGGGAGGUUUCGUACUUCCUGCUUGCAAACAUCACAGAUCUUGUUACCCUUAAUACUAAACCACUUUAAGGUGCAUGCCUUGUGAGCGAGUGCGAGCUCUCCUUUGCAGCUGCAUUCCAUUUUAAAUGUUUCACUUUCUUCACCAAGUUCAACAAAACAAAUUCUGCAAACAGCUUCUUCCUCGGGAAUAUCUUCACCAGUAUUAUCUGUCGCAUUUUCGGUUUCCUGUGGUAUGUCUGCUGAGGCAUCAGAAUCUGUGGUUGUGCGAACGACUUUGGAAAUUACACGGAUGAGACCACCAUUUGAAUCAGUCCUCCUUAAGCUUCCACUUUUAACAUGUAUAGGCACUGAAAAUGAACGCUUCAUAUGCUGUAGAGCUUCAGGUUUAAUUAACUCUGAAUGAUCAUCCAAACAAUUGUCCUCUGCAGGCUUUUCCACAGUUCCCAUUGGUGUCUCUGGUAAAGACCGGAUUGAUUUUGUCGUUGAAGAGAACAAAACUUUAUUGAGAGAAAAUGACCUUGAAGUUGAAGGCUUGUCUGAAAGUGGCAUGUCUGGGAUAAUGAGAACUGUCUUUUCGCCAUCGUGAGUUACAUUUUU
rnacentral:misc_RNA from 1 species